rnacentral:rRNA from 1 species
AGAGUUUGAUCAUGGCUCAGAACGAACGCUGGCAGCGUGGAUUAGGCAUGCAAGUCGAACGAGAGUAUUGAAGUAGCAAUACGACGAUACAAGAGUGGCGGAAGGGCGAGGAACGCGUGGGCAAUCUACCCCCUGGUUGGGGAUAACUCGCCGAAAGGUGAGCUAAUACCGGAUACGAUGGUUCGUCAUAUGACGGAUUGAUCAAAGAUGGGGAGCCGUAAGGUCCUGUCGCCGGGGGAGGAGCCCGCGUCCUAUCAGCUUGUUGGUGAGGUAACGGCUCACCAAGGCUUACGGGUAGCUGGUCUGAGAGGAUGGUCAGCCGCACUGGGACUGA